UGGGGGAUAUUGCACAAUGGGCGAAAGCCUGAUGCAGCGACGCCGCGUGGGGGAUGAAGGCCUUCGGGUUGUAAACUUCUUUUGCUCUGAACAAGGCGCACCAUGGGGUGUGUUGAGUGUAGGGGUUGAUUAGCGCCGGCUAACUACGUGCCAGCAGCCGCGGUAAUACGUAGGGCGCGAGCGUUGUCCGGAAUUAUUGGGCGUAAAGCGCACGCAGGCGGUUGAUUGAGUCAGAUGUGAAAUCCCCGGGCUUAACCCGGGAAUUGCAUCUGAUACUGGUCAGCUAGAGUCUUGUAGAGGGGGGUAGAAUUCCAUGUGUAGCGGUGAAAUGCGUAGAGAUGUGGAGGAAUACCGGUGGCGAAGGCGGCCCCCUGGACAAAGACUGACGCUCAGGUGCGAAAGCGUGGGGAGCAAACAGG
rnacentral:rRNA from 1 species